rnacentral:rRNA from 1 species
GACGAACGCUGGCGGCGUGCCUAAUACAUGCAAGUUGAGCGCUGAAGGUUGGUACUUGUUCCACCUGGAUGAGCAGCGAACGGGUGAGUAACGCGUGGGGAAUCUGCCUUUGAGCGUGGGACAACAUUUGGAAACGAAUGCUAAUACCGCAUAAAAACUUUAAACACAAGGUUUAAGUUUGAAAGAUGCAAUUGCAUCACUCAAAGAUGAUCCCGCGUUGUAUUAGCUAGUUGGGGAGGUAAAGGCUCACCAAGGCGAUGAUACAUAGCCGACCUGAGAGGGUGAUCGGCCACAAUGGGACUGAGACACGGCCCAAACUCCUACGGGAGGCAGCAGUAGGGAAACUUCGGCAAUGGACGAAAGUCUGACCGAGCAACGCCGCGUGAGUGAAGAAGGUUUUCGGAUCGUAAAACUCUGUUGGUAGGGAAGAACGUUGGUGAGAGUGGAAAGCUCAUCAAGUGACGGUAACUACCCAGAAAGGGACGGCUAACUACGUG